GGUACUGCUUCCAUGUCCAGAAAUGGCUCUGCUACUGCAGUUUCUGUGGAAAACAAAUUGAAGAAGAAUGAGACCUGUUACCAUCCGCUGGGCCCCCAGAUCUAUCUCCAGUGAUUGGUUCUUCACGAGACCCUGUGGGUGAGUGACCACCCAGCCCGUUCGGCCGGUCAGCAGCCGGGCCUGUUCAGGGAGCCAGCCCCUCUCUGCCGACGGCCACACUGAGAUCUGAGAGUCCGAAAUCUGACCCGAAACCAUCCCUAUCAUACUGGAGCAUGGAGCGUCUGAGAGAAGGAGAGAGAGAGAGAAUGUGAGCUACCUUGAAAGAAGCAACAAUAUUCUGAACCACAGGAAACGGACAUACAAGCAACUUCUUGUCUGACUCUACUUGUCAGAAAUGGAAACCCAAGUCCACCUGCGAGAGACAGAAAGAGAUCGUAAGAAAAGGGCUGUUACUCUCUGGCCUAACAAGCUAACUUUGAAACAGAGAAGUAGUCACUAGGACUGAGUGUUGUAAGAAGUGGAAAGAUUCUGCUGUGCUGGCUAGACAGCAUCCCUCUAAGGAUAAAAAAUAGUCUAUGAAAAUUGUUUUGACCUGUUGAGUAAUCAAUGAACUAUUAACCCGCUGGUAUUUUUUGAUGAUCCUGUGAUUCAUUUGUUCUAAUCUAAAUUUACUCAGUAAGCAGGGCAGAGGAACUAAGUUGUUUUUCUUAAAUCUGAACCAAUCAUAUCAAGACUGAUGAUAUUGAGUAAUAGAUCAUGCUAUACUGGCUGUGAGAUGUACCUAAAAUCCUAUAAAUCCUGCUGUAUUCCUUUGAUCGGGGAGAGAUUCUCUGGGAUUGAUGAGAACUCUCCCGGCCAUGAUUAAAAGCUUUGAAGGACAACAA